rnacentral:rRNA from 1 species
GAUGAACGCUGGCGGCGUGCUUAACACAUGCAAGUCGAGCGGAAGGGCCCGGAGUUUGUUUCUUUGUCGUUAGGGGAGCGGGGGAGUAAAACGCGUGGAACCCCCCCUUGACUGAGGGGGAAAAUUUCGGAAAACGGGAGCAAACCCCGGAUAAUAUUUUGAUCCGCGGGGGUCGAUAGUGAAUGUCGGCGUUGCGGUAUGUAAUAGCUGCUUCUCCGCUGCAUUGGGUGGUUGGUAAGGUAACGGCUUACCAAGGCAACGAUGCCUAGCCGACUGGAUAGAGGGAUCGGCGACACGGGAACUGAGACACGGUCCAGAGUCCUACGGGAGGCAGCAGUAGGGAAUCUUCCGCAAUGGGCGAAAGCCUGACGGAGCAACGCCGCGUGAGUUAUGAAGGUCUUCCGAUCGUAAAACUCUGUUAUUAGGGAAGAACAUAUGUGUAAUUAACUGUGCACAUCUUGACGGUACCUAAUCAGAAAGCCACGGCUAACUACGUG